rnacentral:rRNA from 1 species
AAACCAACAGGGAUUGCCUCAGUAACGGCGAGUGAAGCGGCAAAAGCUCAAAUUUGAAAUCUAACACUUUCAGUGUUCGAGUUGUAAUUUGAAGAAAGUUUCUCUGAGUAGUCCUUUAUCUAUGUUCCUUGGAACAGGACGUCAUAGAGGGUGAGAAUCCCGUAUGAUUUUGGAUACUAUUCUUUGUGAGAUUCUUUCGAAGAGUCGAGUUGUUUGGGAAUGCAGCUCUAAGUGGGUGGUAAAUUACAUCUAAAGCUAAAUAUUGGCGAGAGACCGAUAGCGAACAAGUACAGUGAUGGAAAGAUGAAAAGAACUCUGAAGAGAGAGUGAAAAAGUACGUGAAAUUGCUGAAAGGGAAGGGCUUUAGGUCAGACUUGGUGUUUAAAUGAUUAUCUUCUCUUUUUGAGUUGUGCACUCGUUUUUCACUGGGCCAAUAUCAGUUUUUGUGGUAGAGCACCUAUUGGAAUGUAGCUUUUCUUCGGAUGAGUGUUAUAGCCUUUAGACGAUCUU